rnacentral:snRNA from 1 species
GAACAGUGUUCACUUCAGCAGCUAAAAUCAGAAUGCUGCAGAGAAGAUUAGCAUGACCCCUGCACAGAUAACACACAAAUUCAUGUUCUAUAUUUUG